rnacentral:lncRNA from 1 species
GAUAUUUCCGUGUUUUCGGACUACCGAUAUUUCCGAUAUUACCGAUAUUUUCUUCCUUCAAAUAAUCACCAUAUUAAUCACCAAAUUUUCUUUUCUUUCUCUGUUUGCUGCUGGCCCCUCCCUCUUUUUUCCCUCAGUAAAAUAAGCGAGUAAAUUGUACAAAUGGUCCCUCAACUUUAAUCAAAUUGGAGCAAUGGUCCCUCAACUAAAAAUUCAUUACCUUUGGUCCCUCAACUUAUCAAAACGUGCAGCUAUGGUCCCUCAACUAAAAAUUCAUUACCAUUGGUCCCUGAACUUUAAUUCAAGUGGAGAAAUGGUCCUUUAACUUUAACCCAAUUGUAACAAUAGUCCUUCCAAUAUAACUCGUUUUGACAAAUUUUUUGACAUAGUUGACGAAAAGAACCAUAAUUAUACACUUUGAUGAGUUAAGGGACCCUAAUUAUAUAAAUGGUUAUUCCAACAUAGCUUAUUUUGACAAUAUUUUGACAAAAUUGAUGAAAAGGACUAUAGCUACACAUUUUGAUAAGUUGAGGGACCAAUGGUAAUGAAUUUUUAGUUGAGGGACCAUUGCUCCAAUUUGAUUAAAGUUGAGGGACCAUUUGUACAAUUUACUCUAAAAUAAGCCUACGACACCUUCACUAUUAUAUAAAAGAUACCCGCGUCAUUACAAUUGUUAGAAAGGUUUUUUAAAAUAAAAGAAUUCUGGAAUGAAUAACUAGUUGGCUAUAUCGAGGGACUGGUCAGAUGAAGGCAGUAUCUCGAGUCUGAGGUUGCUGACACGGACAACCGAUCAGCGCCGUAAACUAUAAAAGAACAAAGCAAUGAUGUAGGAUAAGAGGUCGGUCUUAUCUGCAUAUGUCAAACUAUCACAUCGGAAGUGGAAUUAAGAUUUUGGAAUUAUAAUUGAGUAAAUUGUAGUUAUGGUCUUUUAAUUUUAACUCAAUUAAAGCAAUGGUCCCUCAACUAAAAAUUCAUUACCAUUGGUCUCUCAACUCAUCAAAACGUGCAACUAUGGUCUCUUAACUAAAAAUCCAUUACCGUUGGUCCCUUAACUCCUCAAAACAUGCAAUUAUGGUCCCUUAACUAAAAAUCUAUUACCGUUGGUCCCUCAACUCAUUAAAACAUGCAGCUAUGGUCUCUUAAUUAAAAAUCCAUUACCAUUGGUCCCUCAAUUUUAAUUCAACUUGUUGUAGUUGUUCAACUUCAAAUUCAAAUGGAAAGGCAUGUUGUUCAAUUGAGAAUGUAAGACAGGGACCAAAAUAACCAUUUGGUUGUGGAAUUAUUUUACCCUUGCGAAGUCUUUUUACCAUCUUCCUGCUACCGGACAAUUGAAAAGAUGCAAUGAAACAUGUCGUCGAAAUUUAAUGUAGUCCUUCGAAAACUGUCUUGGCAUUUGUAAUUAGGUAGACGUGGUAAUUUCUUAUAUGAUAUGUUAACCCAACUCGAAAUGACACGAAAAUAAUGGAUUUCGGACCAAUACGUUAACUAAUCGGGUCGUUAUCAGAUCACACGUUAAGAACUCUUUUAAUAACGCAUUCUUAACCGGUUUAAUCGCGGGCAACCCUUUUUAACCCGAUAAAAAAAUUUCAUAAUUUUAAACUACUAGAAAGCUUUACUAUAAUAGCAAUAGUAUUAUAUCCCACAUAAAUGAGAUUAAAAAAAUUCCAAUGCACAUUAAAAUACCAAGAAAUUUAAAAAUACAAAGCACACUAAAAAAAUUCAGAAAAAUGUAAAAAAAUAUGCAAUCGCUCAUGAUCGCAUCAUGUACACUUUGUCCACGGGUAUGUCGUCGUUUGUAUUUUUUAAAACCCUACAAACCAUCGUGAACAGUUUUUUUUAGGGAGAGUUAAAUAAAAAUCAUAAUUAUUAAUGUAAAAGUGUAAAAAUGUGAAAUAUAUAUAUAUAUAUAUAUAUUUGUUUUUGGUCAACUAAAUUCUAGAUUUGUAUUUAACCAUUGAUUUGAACGAAAAAGAAUAUAUAUAAACACUCGUUAUUGCAUCAUCUAUGCUUAGAUGAUGGUUACACCUUCAUUUAGAUUUUUAAAACCUUUAAACUGUCAUGAAUAGUCUUUAUUGUUUGAAUGCAAAAUUCAUAAAAAAAAAGGGAACUUUAACGAAAAGCACCCGGUACUGUUUACUUUAACGAAAAACCACAUUUUACACUAAAAAGUCAAUCAUGGUACUAUUCACUUUCCCUUUAUUUUUUCCUUAUCAUUAAAACUCAAAGUUUUCAAGCCCUUUUCAUUAGUUUUCUUUAAAAAAAAAUUCAUAAUAAUUAAUAUACAAGUGUGAAAAAAUUUAAAAAUAAAAAACUUUACAACUUUCGUGAUGUGGUCAACUCCGAAAUUCGACACAAUGAUCUACUAAAUCCUAGAUUUAUAUUUAACCGUUGUUUGUUGUUUACGCUCUUUUAAAAUUAGUAUAAGAAACUGACACACAAUUGCAAUCCAACUAUCAAUGCUAAGUAUCAUGAUUCAUUUAACAAAACCUUUACAUACCAAUUUGAAACACUAUGACCGGUUCUAACUCCCACUAUUAUACUCACAUUCGAACAUUCUACCACUUGAGUAUGAACAAGUUUGAUACACAAUCUUCAAAUUAUAAUAGAAGUGAUUAGUUAAGGCUAAUACAAUAAGUUCUCUACACAUACAUUUCAAAACAUAGAAACAAAUACUUCUGCUACUAUACAUAAUGCAUAAUUGGUUCAAGAUUACUGAAUUAUUGAUGUCCAAUAUGUAUAUAUAACAAUGUGAACUUAUGUAUAGAUCAAACCAAAAUUAUUCGCUCCCACUCAUUUGGCCAAACUUAAAAACAAUAAUGUUAAGCUCAGUUAACAACAAAUUCUUCUAACAUUCACAUUACUGGAACACAAUGAGUAAUAAUUCAACCAAUUGCUUGAUCAAACCACAAUUCAAUUUAUAAGCGUCAAAAUGAAUUAUAACCUUACAAGAGACAUGAACCAACUACAAAACUAAACUAAAAUUUGUUUGCUACCACUCAUCGAUGCCAAACUCAGUAUUUAAAAAAAAAAAAAAAAAACUUAGUUCCAAUCCUCUUAUUAUUCAAAGAUAAUGAAUAACAUGAUCAUCAUUCAACCAAUUGCUUAAACAAUGAAAAAGAUCCAUAAGCAACACCAAGAAUGAUUAUAUUACAACUCCACCAACUGCCUUAUCAAAACAGAAACUAUAUUAAAGCAUCGUAAGACCAUCUCUAAUGGAGAUGUCAAAUUAAAAUGGCAGUUUUUAUUUUUAUAGCUAAUGUGGUAAAAUAACAUUUUGUAAAGUCUUCUAUCCCAACUGAGAUGUCAAAUUAAAAUGUUUUUCAGUUAUUUAUAAAUCAAGUGGGUUAAAAUUUAAUAAUUAAAUAAUCAACUAGUGAAAAAAUAAAGAAAUAUGUAGGCACAUCAUUAAAAAAAAACUUUGGCCUUGCCUUCAAAUUUGGCAGCAAAGUGGAGAAUGUCAAUCCAUGUAGGAUUUUGCAUCUCCUUAGGAGCCAGAAAACCACAUUUUUUGUCAAAAUAGUCCACGUGGGAUUUUUGACAUUUCCUCUAGAAAUACUCUAAGAAUUAUAAUUGAAAACUAGCUGGCCUAAAAUGCCCUCAUACUUAUGCUCACAUUCGAAAAUUUGAUUCUCUCACUUGAGCAUAAGUUGUAGGUUCCACACAACCUAAUGAUAAUGCAUAAUCUCAAUUUGAAAUAAACAAAUCGCACACCACGAUGCACACAAUUUAUGUAUCAAAAGAUAAUCUCAAUCCAUUUGAAAAAAAAUCUUAUCUCACAUAAAUUCAUAAACUCAAAAUCACUAGUUUCAACGAUCACUAGUAGAAAAAACAGCUUGCGCAACGACAUUUUGUGCGAUGAACAAUAAUUCGUUGCACAAGAGGCACUUGCACGACGUAAAAACUUAUUCGUCGCGCAAAAUAGAAAACAUAUUGAAAAAAAAAAAUUGUGCGACGAAAGAAAUUGUUGUCAUCUCAUAAAGUCAGCAAGAAAACGCGGGGUAAAUUUUUUGCAUCGGGAAACUUGCGCGACGAAAAGUGCUUUUGCACGACCAAUUUUUCUCGCGCAAGUUCCAGUCUGCUUUGACCAUUUAAUACAGGUGAAUCAGAUGACAUUUAAUACAAAUGUUUGCGCGACAAAGCCUUCGUCUCGCAAAGAUCUUAACUUUGCUAUAAAUAGGCACUUCUAUUGUCCUUAUUCUUCACAAUUCUGUUAUCCUUAUUCUUCAUAAUUCUAUUCGUGCUAAGAUGGCGGAUAGAAAGAACGAUAAGAGUGUGCGCGACGACAAACGCAUGAUUUGAGAAUAAUUGCCCCACUGCCGCAUUUUGAGUUUGCUUAUGUUAUUGUUGUAGCUAUGGGGAAUAAUUGCCCCACUGCUGAGUGGCCU